rnacentral:rRNA from 1 species
AUUGAACGCUGGCGGCAGGCCUAACACAUGCAAGUCGAGCGGCAGCGACUUAACUGAACCUUCGGGGAACGUUAAGGGCGGCGAGCGGCGGACGGGUGAGUAAUGCCUGGGAAUAUGCCCUGAUGUGGGGGAUAACUAUUGGAAACGAUAGCUAAUACCGCAUAAUCUCUUCGGAGCAAAGAGGGGGACCUUCGGGCCUCUCGCGUCAGGAUUAGCCCAGGUGGGAUUAGCUUGUUGGUGAGGUAAUGGCUCACCAAGGCAACGAUCCCUAGCUGGUCUGAGAGGAUGAUCAGCCACACUGGAACUGAGACACGGUCCAGACUCCUACGGGAGGCAGCAGUGGGGAAUAUUGCACAAUGGGGGAAACCCUGAUGCAGCCAUGCCGCGUGUGUGAAGAAGGCCUUCGGGUUGUAAAGCACUUUCAGUAGGGAGGAAGGUAGUGUAGUUAACACCUGCAUUAUUUGACGUUACCUACAGAAGAAGCACCGGCUAACUCCGUGCCAGCAGCCGCGGUAAUACGGAGGGUGCGAGCGUUAAUCGGAAUUACUGGGCGUAAAGCGCAUGCAGGCGGCCUGUUAAGUCAGAUGUGAAAGCCCGGGGCUUAACCUCGGAAUUGCAUUUGAAACUGGCAGGCUAGAGUCUUGUAGAGGGGGGUAGAAUUUCAGGUGUAGCGGUGAAAUGCGUGGAGAUCUGAAGGAAUACCAGUGGCGAAGGCGGCCCCCUGGACAAAGACUGACGCUCAGAUGCGAAAGCGUGGGGAGCAAACAGG